AGCUAUUCAUUCAUUCAUUCUCUCAUUGCUCUGUUCUCUCUCUCUCUCUCUCUGAUAAUAAUAAUCUCAUUCUUUUCUGAAAGCUCUCUCUCUGAUUCAUUCUUCUUGCUGUUGUUUCGUUUUCAUGGAAUCACCGCGCACUCCGAUUUCAUCUCCGCUCCCACUUUCCAUCUUCAUGGAAUCACCGCACACUCCGAUUUCAUCGCCAUCGUCCCUCUCGUCGGUAACUCCUUCACCUCGCACUCCUCUCUGUGAAUCUCCGAUGAUGGAUCAUACUCCUCCGAUUUCACCUCGCACUCCGAUUUCAUCGCCAUCGUCGGUAACUCCUUCACCACCUCGUGCACCCAAAAAAAGUAAUAAGCAACGAAUGAUAUAUUCUACCCCGAUGCUACGCUUAAUGGAUCGAAUCAUUCAAGAUGGUGAAUUGUGGUUGCUUGAGUAUCGAAGGAAUCAGAACACCGCUCAACUCAUCGAAAACGAGAGAAAGAGAAAAAUCAAAAUUUUGAUGUCACUUCGAUGAUGAUGAUAGUAACCCUUUCACAAUUAUUUCUCUCUUAUUAUUCCUUUUCAGAUAUGACAUAUAUAGAUGCUUUCUAUAUCAAAAUGGGUAAGGAAAAAGGGUAAGAUUCCAUUGUUAUUUUUUGACAUAAUAUAUAGAUGCUUUCUAUAAGGAAAUAGGUGAGUUCAUUGAAACUUCCUCCUUCUCAGGCUCGUUAGUUUUCAAUUUCAUUUCCAUAAAGUUUUAAACUUUCUUCUUUUUAGGUUAUAAAAAUUGUGUCUUUAGUUAUGUCGUUUUAAUUUGGGUAAUUUCAUUUAUCUAUUUUUUGUUUCAGAAAAUGUGGUUUUUGUUUAUUUGUUGUAUUCUUUUUGUUGAUGAUUUAUGUUCUUGAUUGUGUUUUGGUGUUUGGACUUUUGACUAAUUUGUUGGUGAUCUAUAUAGGUUUCAUUUUAUGGAGGUAGGUAUGUAAUAUUUUUAUCGGGUUUGUGGAGGUUUGACACCGCCCGCCAAUGGAUGGUACUAACCAAACAAAACUUUCAUCAAGUUCUUCCUAGUUUCAACUGUUUCAUCUUUGACUGAGUUUCUAUUUUCUUUUAUUAUGCAAUUGUGAUUAAUGAUAUGUUGGAGAGAAGAUAUAUUUUUUUGUGUUUGUUUGAAUCCAUAACUACCUUGAUUGUCAGAGUCAAUGCAGGUACUACAGCUAUUGUAGGAUAAAAAUCAGUCUCGUCUCUUCAGGUCAUUAGAGAAAGGAGCAGAAGAUACUAUAAGAGGCUGAGAGGGUAAUCAUAUCGGAAACAGAUCUUCCUCGUGACUUAGGUUGCUUCAGAUUUUAAACAAGUCUGGGAUACAUUAAAAAAAAAUUAUUAAGCUUAGGAAUAAUUCAAUUGGAACCCAUGUGAUCUCUAUGCCCUCAAGUAUUAACAAGGAUUCUGUUCUCACUGAUAGGGUAAUAAUAUCGGAAACGAUUCUAGAUCUCGUUAUUGAAGUUUUCAAUGGGAUACAUUGCUUACAUAUGUUCUAGCUUCAAUAUCAUGUCCUUUUAUGUCAUACCAGUAUACCUAAGUAUUUAUUUCUUCCUCAAUUAAAAUUGAAAUUUUUGCCCUCGGAAUAUUAUAUAAACUCUUUCUAUGUUCUCUGUCCUUGAAUUUGUAUUUCUUACUGGCAUUGAUUUAUUACUUAUUGGUUGCUUCAGAUUUUAAACAUGUCUUGGAUACAUUCAGAUUUUUAUUAAGCUAGGGAGUGAUUCGGUUGGAGCCCAUGUGAUCUCUAAGCCCUCAAGUAUUAACAAGGAUUCUGUUCCAGCACUAACCUCUUUAAUGGUUAUAAAUAAUAUGUAGGCAAGCUAUAAUCCUUGACUUAUAGAGGUACAAAUAUGAGAGUUUGCGUGCUCAGAUUCAUUGAUCAAUUUCCCCUUUGAGCCCUUUUCCUUUAAUCCCUUUUAGGUACAAAUAUGUAUAUUAUUGAUGGUAAACGAAAAUAGUAGUAGAAGAUCUCUCUAGUUAGUAGCUACUUUCGGAGCAAAGCCCCAACACAGAGAAAUAUCUAUUUCUGGCCCUAACAAAAAAUAAUUCCAUCCUACCCUCUCUCUGGUGUCUGGCCUAAUAUUUGUCAAAACUUAUUAAGUGUAGGACAGUUGCUUGAAAAGGGUUCAUACACAUCUUUAAGAAUAGUAUGUGUGUGAGUAAAUCUGCUAUGCCCAAGAGUUGUUCAUAUCUUUAAAAGAUUAUCAUUAGAGUCCUUUCAAUGUGAGGAAGCUUCUGUUGUAAAAUCAAUUUGUGAUACUGAAGUUUGCCACUAGAGGAUGUGCCAUUUUAAUCAUGUAUGAACUCUUACAAGGGUAUGCAGAUUUAAUUUUUGAAAUUUGAAGUUGCUGAUAUUUUUGUAAAUUCAAAAAUUGGGUUGAAAAUAAGAGUGGAUGCAAAAUUUAAGUAUCAGGUAAUGGAAUUGAAUACACCUAAAAAAAUUCAAUUAGCUUUGUGUAGAGGUUGGAAUUACACCUCAACUCACUGCUCCCUACUCAUCGCGGCAGAAUGGUGAGUGAAAGGAAUACUAGGACCGUGAUGCAGAUGCUUGCUAUAUGAGAAAAAUAUGCCUAGAAGUUUUUUGCUCAACAGACUAACUACAAUGACUGAUAUUGGAGAGAUGUCAUAUUUCUUGGUAAUGUAGGCUUAAGCAAAAUCAUUUGCAGGAAUCCUUAUAUGUCAAAAGAAGUAUGCUGAGAUGAUGAGAUCCUAAAGAAGUUCAAUAUGAGCAAAAACAAGCCCAUGAGAAUGAGAAGCUUAUCAAAGAAAAUGGGUCUAGAAGAGUUGAAGAAGCUUACAGAAGCUUAGUUGGAUUCUUAAUUAACAUACUUCACAUCAGGCUGUUAGUCAGAUUCAUUGAUCGACUUCCCCUUUGAGCCCUUUUCCUUUAAUCCCUUUGAGGUACAAAUAUGUAUAUUAUGGUAAAGGAAAAUAGUAGUAGAACAUCUCUCUAUUAGUAGCUACUUCCAGAGGAAAGGUCCAACACAGAGAAAUAUCUAUCUCUGGCCCUGACAGAAAAUAAUUCCAUCAAAACUUAUUAAGUGUAGGAAGUUACUUGAAAAGGGGUCAUACAUUAUCUUUAAGAAUAAAUAGUAUGUGUGUGAUUAAAUCUGCUGAUGCCUAAGAAUUGUUAGUAUACCGAUGAAGGUUAAAAGAUUUUCAUGAGUUGUUGCAAUGUGAGGAAGCUGCUGUUUUAAAAUCAACUUCUGAUACCGAAGUUUGGCACUAGAGUAUGUGCCAUUUUAAUCAGGCAGAGAAGGUUGCAGUUGAUACAUACAGAUCUUCAGCAUAUAUUACAUACUCUUCAUGUAUGAAUUUACAAGGUUAUGCUGGAUUUAAUUUUUGAAAUUUGAAGUUGCUGAUAUUUUUUGUAAAUUCAAAAAUUUGGUUGAAAAUCAGAGUGGAUGCCAAAAAUUCAAGUGUUAAGAUCAGGUAAUGGAAUUGAAUACACCUCAAAAAUUCAAUUAGCUUUGUGAAGAGGGUGGAAUUACAUAUCAACUCACUGCUCCAUACUCAUUGCAGCAGAAUAAUGUGAGUAAAAGGAAGAAAAUAGGACCCUGAUGAAAAUGGCUCGAUUUUUGCUAUACGAGAAAAGUACGCCUAAGAAGAGUUGAAGAAGAAUAUGGACGACGCUUAGUUGGAUGCUUAAUUAAGGUGCCUUACGUCAGGCUGUUAGCAUCCUUUCAAGAUUUCUGCAUUAUGCUAGCGAGGAGCUUCUCAAUGUAGCAACGAGUGUUGAGAUAUAAUAUCAAUGGAAUUACAAGAUAUUCAUGGUUUCUGAGAUAGUGAUUGGGUUGGAUCUAUUGAUUAUAUGCUUAGCACCUCUGGCUACUGUUUUUCAUUUGGUUCUGGAAUGUAUUCAUGGUGCUAAAAAGAGCAAGAUACUGUUUCUCAAUUGACAGCAGAGGCAAGAGUUCCUAGCAGCAGCUGAAGCAGCUAAUGAAGAAUUGUGGAUUAGGAAGUUGUUAAAAGAUGUUCAAGUGUUUAUGUGGAUAGUAGUUAAAUUCCAACAAUCCAGUGUUUUGUGGAAAGAGACCAAUAUAAUGAAGUGUUUUAGUAGUAGAUUAAGAAUUUAAGAUAUUCUGUUUUAGGAGAUUGUUAUCAAUUUUUGUAUUUAAAGAUGCUUCAUAUCAAUAAAAAUUUAAGUAUAGUUUUAAAAACACAUUAUUUAAUACAAUACAAUGAUAUUAUUUUCCUAUUUUUAGUUUCUUAACUUGUGCACAUUUGCCAUAUAAUAUGACAUUUUGUCUCCUUUUAUUGGAGAUUA